GUCAGCUUUAUAACAAGGUUAAUAAGUGUCAUAUUAUUGCACUCGGUGUAUUCGCCAUCUUCAUCCAGUCCGCUCCUCACAUCUACUACGUGCAAGACGUUUACUGCCUGCGGAAAGAAAUAUUGCACCCGAUAUUUGACCAGAUCCUAAAGCUACAUGACCGCAUGCUGCAAAUCCCGGUUCUGCGCUGAAGAACACAGCAGCCGCAGCUCUACAAUGUUGAAUGCGAUGAUGGAAGCGGCAAUCACCAGCGACUGUCCCGC